UACGGAGGGGGCAAGCGUUGUUCGGAAUCAUUGGGCGUAAAGGGCGCGUAGGCGGCCGAUCAAGUCGGGUGUGAAAUCCCUCGGCUCAACCGAGGAACUGCACUCGAUACUGAUCGGCUCGAGUCCGGGAGGGGAUGGUGGAAUUCCCAGUGUAGCGGUGAAAUGCGUAGAUAUUGGGAAGAACACCGGUGGCGAAGGCGGCCAUCUGGACCGGAACUGACG
rnacentral:rRNA from 1 species